AAUUAAACAAUAGGUAGUAAAACUUUUUUUUAAAACCAAUAUAAACUGGCGGCAUUUAAUAUAUUUAGAGGAACCUGUUUUUUAAUCGACAAUACACGUUAAAUUUUACUUAGUUAUAAAAUUUUAUAUACCGCCGUCAAAAGAGUUUUUAUAAAUUAUUUCUCUUAAAAUAAAAUAUGUCAGGUAAAGGUGUAAACUAAUACUAAGAUAAAAUGUGUUACAAUAAAAAAUAUUUAAGAAUUCAAAAUUAAAAAUUUUAAUUAAAAAGGAUUUAUAAGUAAAACUAAUAAUAAUAAUUAAUAUUUAAUUAAAUAUUAAUGUGC
rnacentral:rRNA from 1 species